rnacentral:rRNA from 1 species
UACGUAGGGUGCAAGCGUUGUCCGGAAUUAUUGGGCGUAAAGAGCUCGUAGGCGGUCUGUCGCGUCUGCUGUGAAAAUCAGGCUCAACCCUGGACCUGCAGUGGGUACGGGCAGACUAGAGUGCGGUAGGGGUGACUGGAAUUCCUGGUGUAGCGGUGAAAUGCGCAGAUAUCAGGAGGAACACCGGUGGCGAAGGCGGGUCUCUGGGCCGAUACUGACGCUGAGGAGCGAAAGCGUGGGGAGCGAACAGG